GACGAACGCUGGCGGCGUGCUUAACACAUGCAAGUCGAACGGAAAGGCCUCUUUCGGGGGGUACUCGAGUGGCGAACGGGUGAGUAACACGUGAGUAACCUGCCCUUGACUUUGGGAUAACUUCAGGAAACUGGGGCUAAUACCGGAUAGGAGCUCCUGCUGCAUGGUGGGGGUUGGAAAGUUUCGGCGGUUGGGGAUGGACUCGCGGCUUAUCAGCUUGUUGGUGGGGUAGUGGCUUACCAAGGCUUUGACGGGUAGCCGGCCUGAGAGGGUGACCGGCCACAUUGGGACUGAGAGACGGCCCAGACUCCUACGGGAGGCAGCAGUGGGGAAUAUUGCACAAGGGGUGGAAGCCGGAUGCAGCAACGCCGUGUGCGGGAUGACGGCCUUCGGGUUGUAAACCGCUUUCGCUCAUGACGAAGCUUUGUGUGACGGUAGUGGGUAAAGAAGCACCGGCUAACUACGUG
rnacentral:rRNA from 1 species